rnacentral:rRNA from 1 species
GACGGAGGGUGCAAGCGUUGCUCGGAAUCACUGGGCGUAAAGGGUGCGUAGGCGGCUUGGUAGGUCUGGUGUGAAAGCCCCGGGCUCAGCCCGGGAAGGGCACUAGAAACUGCCAAGCUAGAGUGCCGGAGGGGAGAGUGGAAUUCCUGGUGUAGCGGUGAAAUGCGUAGAGAUCAGGAGGAAUACCGGUGGCGAAAGCGACUCUCUGGACGGCAACUGACGCUGAGGCACGAAAGCGUGGGGAGCAAACAGG